rnacentral:rRNA from 1 species
UACGUAGGGUGCAAGCGUUAAUCGGAAUUACUGGGCGUAAAGCGUGCGCAGGCGGCUUUGCAAGACAGAUGUGAAAUCCCCGGGCUUAACCUGGGAACUGCAUUUGUGACUGCAUCGCUCGAGUACGGCAGAGGGGGAUGGAAUUCCGCGUGUAGCAGUGAAAUGCGUAGAUAUGCGGAGGAACACCGAUGGCGAAGGCAAUCCCCUGGGCCUGUACUGACGCUCAUGCACGAAAGCGUGGGGAGCAAACAGG